rnacentral:rRNA from 1 species
GAUGAACGCUGGCGGCGUGCUUAACACAUGCAAGUCGAACGAGAAUCUUAGUACGGAAACUUUCGGGUAGAAGAAUUAAGAGGAAAGUGGCGGACGGGUGAGUAACACGUGGGCAACCUGCCCUUUACACAGGGAUAGCCAUCGGAAACGGUGAUUAAUACCUGAUAGACAUAAGAGAGGCAUCUUUUUUAUGAGAAAGAUUUAUUGGUAGAGGAUGGGCCUGCGUCUAAUCAGCUAGUUGGUGAGGUAAAGGCUCACCAAGGCAGUGAUUAGUAGCCGACCUAAGAGGGUGAUCGGCCACACUGGAACUGAGAGACGGUCCAGACUCCUACGGGAGGCAGCAGUGGGGAAUAUUGCACAAUGGAGGCAACUCUGAUGCAGCAACGCCGCGUGAGUGAUGAAAUUUUUCGAAAUGUAAAGCUCUGAUCUAAGGGAAGAAAGAAAUGACGGUACCUUAGGAGAAAGCUCCGGCUAAAUACGUGCCAGCAGCCGCGGUAAUACGUAUGGAGCAAGCGUUAUCCGGAAUCAUUGGGCGUAAAGCGUGCGCAGGCGGUCUAAAAGGUCGGUGGUUUAAGGCAAAGGCUUAACCUUUGUAAGCCAUCGAAACCGGUGGGCUUGAGUGCAGGAGGGGAAAGUGGAAUUUCCAGUGUAGCGGUGAAAUGCGUAGAUAUUGGAAGGAACACCGGUGGCGAAGGCGACUUUCUGGACUGUGACUGACGCUCAUGCACGAAAGCGUGGGUAGCGAACAGGAUUAGAUACCCUGGUAGUCCACGCUGUAAACGAUGACUACUAGGUGUCAGCAAGCGAUUGUUGGUGCCGUAGCAAACGCAUUAAGUAGUCCGCCUGGGGAGUACGGUCGCAAGACUAAAACUCA